rnacentral:misc_RNA from 1 species
AAGUCGUAACAAGGUUUCCGUAGGUGAACCUGCGGAAGGAUCAUUAUUGAAUACGAUUGGUACUGAUGCUGGCCCUUCACUGGGCAUGUGCUCGUUCCAUCUAUUUAUCUUCUCUUGUGCACAUUUUGUAGUCUUCGUUGAACACCUUUUCGCAGUCAAUGCGGUUUGGGAGUUGUUAACCCUUCUCCUGGUUCCUCUGAAGGCUAUGUUUUCAUAUACACUAUAAAAGUUACAGAAUGUCUUUUAACGAUUGUGCUUGUCGCAGUCAUUAAAUCAAAUACAACUUUCAGCAACGGAUCUCUUGGCUCUC